rnacentral:lncRNA from 1 species
CUAGUUUCUCAUCUGAACAUGAAGUAAAGAGCCAAGUCUUUCAUGAAUUAUUUCAAUUUUGUGCCACCUUUUGUAGAUGAAAAAUGCAAGAUUGUGGCAAAAGGUGCCCUACAGCAAGAUGGCAUUUCUAAUUGACUCAUCUGAACUGCAGCAUUACUCCUGUCUUUCUUCUGAUUGGGUAUGUCUGAACAGCAUAUCUGAAAGAAGCGAAAGGAGUAGAAGUUGGGAAAAUCACAGCUACCCUCAUCUGAUGAUGUUGUAUUUCCUGUGCAUUAAAGGACAAGUGGUGCUGAAGAAAUAAUCAAAACAGAAAAAGAAGGUAGAAUCUGUCAUUCCCAAAGAUCAUUUCUUGAAGAGCCACAGGACUGGAUAACAACACAUGCCAAGAAAACUAUUUAGCUUUCUGUUGUGUCUCUCUACAGCAGACUGUGUAGUUCAGUUUGGCCUGACACUUCUAUCUUAGUUUCCUAUCUGGUGACCACUAACUAUGUAUGUUGUUCCAUCGUGUGGGACUUUUUGACAGGAUCAUCCUAACUCUUUGUUUUACCACAUUCUAAUCAGAAUUAAGGCUUUACAAACAUAAUGAAACACACUGGAAAAUCUAGUUUAAUUAAUUUAUUGACCUUCUGCUAAAGUUGGAGUUUUUUUUUUUUCUUUCUUUCUUUUAUAUGUAUAAAGGCAAAUAAUUAAAGGCUUUUUUUACUUCUGUAAUUAAGUGGGAGAUUUGUAGAAGACAGAUUUCAACAGAGUUUUCCAAAGAGCUGUCUCCUCAUUCCUGCUCUCCCCCCAGAUCAGCAUAUUGGAAGUGUGCAUUUGUUCUGUAGUAAUGAGAAGUUAAUUUACAGUUUCUUCACUCCUUAUUUGGACAAAUCCAUAUGAAGAGAGGAAACUAUUUUUGGUCUAGGAACAUAUGGAAAGGAAUGGGAGAACUCACAUCUCACGUUAACCACAAUCUUCUAAAUCAGAAUAAAGACAAAGAUAUUAAAGUUGAACUAACUGAA